UCAACCACUGUAUAAAAUUAGUGGCUGAAAAUCAAAAAGUAGUGUAGUGGCGAUCUUUUUUGAUUUUGAGAAUAGUACCCCAAAUAUCCAUAGAUACUUGUCGACAAUUUUGCUUAAUCGCCAUUGAUUUCAAAGAUCCAGAUCUUGUUCUUCAUUGAUAAUUUAAGCUGUUUAUAGAUGAAUUGAGGUGAAUUUGAGCAGAUUUGAACUCCAUUGUAGGGUGUUUUCAUGAAGUUUCAAUGUCGCCUAAGACUCUAGAUUCACGUCACGCCAUUGAAUCGUGUACGUAUCAUCUCCAUUCUUGGAAACCCUUUCAGUUUCCGUCUCCGAAUUCUAAAACCCUAGAUUUAGAUUCGCCAAAAACUUACUCCCCGUCGACCCAUGGUGGGCUGCAUACGAAGCGUCAAUGUAGAGCGGAUCGAACAACUUCGAUUCCAAUUGAAGCUCUUGAUAUGUCAAAGUUAAGUUUAUUUGAGGAGGAUAAGCCUUUAUCGGUUCAUAAACGGGAGAAUCUUAGGUUGAUAGCUGGUAAGAGGCGGAGACGUGGGUCUCGUUCGGUUUCCGGGAGGAGUAGUGAUCGGAGUGGAACUAGAAGACGGUGUUGCUCGGUUGGAGCUUCAGCAGCUUAUGGGACUUGUUCGGAUUUUCCUGUUGCUGCGGGGACUGAUUCAAGUGGGGAAUUGUUCGUGAAUGGGGAUAUGCAUUGGACUUUGGAUGUUAGUGAGGUUACAAAGAGUUUAAGGAAGGAGAAGGAAGGUGGUGGGGUUGGUGAAAGAGAGAAUAAUUUAAAUGGUUUGUCUGUGCAAAGUGGGAAUUUUGAGGGGUUGGGUAAUGAGUCAGGGUAUGGGAGUGAACCGGGGUAUCGUGGUGAUGCAGAGUUUGGAUAUGGUGAUGAGUUUGAUGAAGAAGAAGAUGAUCAACGGCUUUCCUUCUGGGGCGAUGAAUUUGGAGUGGCAGGUGGUUAAGAUGUUUCUAUAAGCAGACUGUUUUUGUUGAGAUCUCAAUAGAAGUGGAGGGCUGCAUGAUUCUAAGGCAGUUAGAUUGAGCUUGGUAGUUGAUCAGUAGUACUACUUUACUUGGUGCUUGUCACUCUCUAGGAUGGAGAAAGUUGGAGAGAACUCGUUGCAGAAGGUGCACCAUAGAUGUCGGCGGAGGAAACAAGAUUGUCGAAUGGUGAUCCCUUGAGGUUUGCUGAUGUUGAUGAGUGUGAUUGAUAGCCGGUUCCAAGAUUUUGCCAGUGAUACAAUCGUGUAAUUCAUGAGCAGAACCUUUUUGGGUUUGAAUACAGAAUCUGCUGCUGUAAAUAUGAACAAAUGAUGUUAAUUGUUCAUGUCUUAUUGUCAUGGUACCCCUGAUGUUCACCAUGGUAUGUUUUGGUUGGGGAUUAGACAAGUUAGUAUAUUGUACUAUUUAAGGGGUCGUUUGAUAGUGUGUAAGAGUAGCGUUGAAUAUUGUGUAUUAGUAAUACUGUGAUUAUCUUUUGUUGUGUUCUAUUUCUUUUGGUAUAUUAAACAUAACAUGUUUUGCCUAA